CCUACGGGUGACAGCAGUGAGGAAUAUUGGUCAAUGGGCGCGAGCCUGAACCAGCCAAGUAGCGUGAAGGAUGACUGCCCUACGGGUUGUAAACUUCUUUUAUAAAGGAGUAAAGUGAGUCACGUGUGCCUUUUUGUAUGGACUUUAUGAGUAAGGAUCGGCUAACUCCGUGCCAGCAGCCGCGGUAAUACGGAGGGUCCGAGCGUUAUCCGGAUUUAUUGGGUUUAAAGGGAGCGUAGAUGGGUUGUUAAGUCAGUUGUGAAAGUUUGCGGCUCAACCGUAAAAUUGCAAUUGCUACUGGCAGCCUUGAGUACAGUUGAGGUAGGCGGAAUUCGUGGUGUAGCGGUGAAAUGCUUAGAUAUCACGAAGAACUCCGAUUGCGAAGGCAGCUUACUAAACUGCCACUGACAUUGAUGCUCGAAAGUGUGGGUAUCAAACAGGAUUAGAUACCCCUGUAGUC
rnacentral:rRNA from 1 species